GCUUACGACCAUACUACGUUGAAAGCACGCCAUCCCGCCCGAUCUGGCAAGUUAAGCAACGUUGGGCCUCCUUAGUAGUUGGAACGGAGGCGUCCUGGGAAUCGGCGGUGUUGUAGGCU
rnacentral:rRNA from 1 species